CAUUACGAUAGGUGUCAAGUGGAAGUGCAGUGAUGUAUGCAGCUGAGGCAUCCUAACAGACCGGUAGACUGUUCCUACAUGACCUGAUCAAUUCGAUCAGGCACUAGCCAUCGAUUUUCAUUGUUAAACUCUUUGACAACAUAAAAAACCAAAAGCCCCUCUCUAUCUAU
rnacentral:rRNA from 1 species